rnacentral:rRNA from 1 species
AUUGAACGCUGGCGGCAUGCUUUACACAUGCAAGUCGAACGGCAGCACGGACUUCGGUCUGGUGGCGAGUGGCGAACGGGUGAGUAAUACAUCGGAACGUGCCCAGUUGUGGGGGAUAACUACUCGAAAGAGUAGCUAAUACCGCAUGAGAACUGAGGUUGAAAGCAGGGGAUCGCAAGACCUUGCGCAACUGGAGCGGCCGAUGGCAGAUUAGGUAGUUGGUGGGAUAAAAGCUUACCAAGCCGACGAUCUGUAGCUGGUCUGAGAGGACGACCAGCCACACUGGGACUGAGACACGGCCCAGACUCCUACGGGAGGCAGCAGUGGGGAAUUUUGGACAAUGGGCGAAAGCCUGAUCCAGCAAUGCCGCGUGCAGGAUGAAGGCCUUCGGGUUGUAAACUGCUUUUGUAUGGAACGAAAAGCUUCGGGCUAAUACCCUGGAGUCAUGACGGUACCGUAAGAAUAAGCACCGGCUAACUACGUGCCAGCCGCCGCCGUAAGAC